rnacentral:lncRNA from 1 species
UGAGCUGGAGUAGUCUCAGAGGAACUUUCUGGCCUUUUAGAAGAUGGGUGUAGUGGAGGCUUCCUUCCGUGAGUUCUAUGCUUGCCAGUAGUGUGCUUAACCUUCUGUGGCUUCUCUGAGGAGGGGAUGUAGGUUCCUUUCACUCUGAGAGUAGCUAACUUCCUUGCAUUUACAUCCUUCAUUCUUUCCAAAGUCUUGAUGAGAGAUUGAUUUUGUCCAAUUAUAGUCUGACACUGCUGUAUUGCCUCAUCAAGUUCUUUGUUGUGCUCUUCUAUUAGCUCCUUUUCUAUUCUUCCUAGCAUAACUUCCCUGAUUCUUUGAGCCAACAACAACUUAGACUCAUGCUCUGUCUUAUCCUCAGUAUUUUUCUCUUCAUCACUAAUUUCUAGCUUCUCAGUUUCAGCAUCACUACCUUCCUCCACUUUCUUCCCUUUUUCUAUCUUUUCAGGCUCUUUCUUCUUUUCUGUUUCUCCUUUUUCUGAUUCUUCUUUCUCUGCAGUACUCUCCUUUUCAGUUUCCUCUUUUCUCUCUUCUUCUAAUUCUUCUUCUUGUGUUUCUUCUUUCUCUUCUUCUGCCUUUUCUUCUGUCUUCUUUUCCUC